AGCGCAGGUGGUUUAUUAAGUCUGGUGUAAAAGGCAGUGGCUCAACCAUUGUAUGCAUUGGAAGCUGGUAGACUUGAGUGCAGGAGAGGAGAGUGGAUUCCAUGUGUAGCGGUGAAAUGCGUAGAUAUAUGGAGGAACACCGGUGGCGAAAGCGGCUCUCUGGCCUGUAACUGACACUGAGGCUCGAAAGCGUGGGGAGCAAACA
rnacentral:rRNA from 1 species